rnacentral:rRNA from 1 species
ACGGAAGGCAGCAGUGGGGAAUAUUGCACAAUGGGGGAAACCCUGAUGCAGCGACGCCGCGUGAGUGAAGAAGUAUUUCGGUAUGUAAAGCUCUAUCAGCAGGAAAGAAAAUGACGGUACCUGACUAAGAAGCCCCGGCUAACUACGUGCCAGCAGCCGCGGUAAUACGUAGGGGGCAAGCGUUAUCCGGAUUUACUGGGUGUAAAGGGAGCGUAGACGGCUUUGCAAGUCUGAAGUGAAAGCCCGGGGCUCAACCCCGGAACUGCUUUGGAAGCUGUAGAGCUAGAGUGCAGGAGAGGUAAGUGGAAUUCCUAGUGUAGCGGUGAAAUGCGUAGAUAUUAGGAGGAACACCAGUGGCGAAGGCGGCUUACUGGACUGUAACUGACGUUGAGGCUCGAAGGCGUGGGGAGCAAACAGGAUUAGAUACCCUGGUA